rnacentral:rRNA from 1 species
GACGAACGCUGGCGGCGUGCCUAAUACAUGCAAGUUGAGCGCUGAAGGUUGGUCCUUGUACCAACUGGAUGAGCAGCGAACGGGUGAGUAACGCGUGGGGAAUCUGCCUUUGAGCGGGGGACAACAUUUGGAAACGAAUGCUAAUACCGCAUAAAAACUUUAAACACAAGUUUUAAGUUUGAAAGAUGCAAUUGCAUCACUCAAAGAUGAUCCCGCGUUGUAUUAGCUAGUUGGUGAGGUAAAGGCUCACCAAGGCGAUGAUACAUAGCCGACCUGAGAGGGUGAUCGGCCACAUUGGGACGGAGACACGGCCCAAACUCCUACGGGAGGCAGCAGUAGGGAAUCUUCGGCAAUGGACGAAAGUCUGACCGAGCAACGCCGCGUGAGUGAAGAAGGUUGUCGGAUCGUAAAACUCGGUUGGUAGAGAAGAACGUUGGUGAGAGUGGAAAGCUCAUCAAGUGACGGUAACUACCCAGAAAGGGACGGCUAACUACGUG